AUCUAUCUAUCUAUAUUACUAAAACUCUCAUCUUGUUUGUUUCUAUGUCUGUCUGUGAGGAGUGUGAUCCUGAAAUUACGCCAAAGCGGCACAUGAUAGCGCUACAAAUCCUGGCCCACCUUACUCACCAUUGCCCUGUGGUGUACUGUUGCAAGUUACGUUCACAUUGAUGGGAUUUCCUUGGAUUCUCCACAAGAACAUACGAUUAAACAUUGAUCAACAAACCAAAGGUGAUCAAAUUUCCAUCCUGGUACCUCAGAGAGCAAUGCAUUCCUUUAAUAGAAAGGCAUACAUAAGGCAGAAAUCCUUCAACAUGUUAAACCUCCUGAAACCUGAAGUGACACUCCAAUGCACUAAAUGUGUGCUUCUUGAUGGGAGGUGUCAUCGUUCAGCUUGGACACUAACUACGAUCUCAUCCUCUGACUUGGUUGACAUAAAAAGAUGCAUCUGACAAUUUGAUGGAGUUUGCACCUUGUCCUUGUCAAUAUUAAUUUCUCAGCACUGUUUGAUCAUUACAUUAUGUUUUAAGUUGGCGAUGUGUGAAUAUUUAUUUGCUCCUGUGUUUCUUAGAUUGCAAUAGUGACGGCUGUGAAUCAAAUGGUACCUGUACUUCAUUUGCGUGAAGAGAUUGGUUAAGUUGGAGACACGACUGGGUAACGUACUCAGAGAAUAAGUAUAUAUAUCAUAGGAUUAGUAGACACAGCCAUGUACUCUUGUCCGUACCUUCCACCCAACAGUCUUCACAUUCAAUGAUAUUAUUCUCUGUAAUAUCCAUUAGCUCUGCGCCUACAAGAGAUGCAGUACCAUCUCUUUUAUCUCGUCUCCUCACUUCCAAAUCCUCCAUUGAAGUCAUCAAAGGUUUACCAUGUGUUUAGAAUGUAAGAUAUUCGUACAAUAAUUGGAAAUAUAUGAUUGCUGUCAAACCUUGAAAUAAAAAGGUAAAAUGAAAAACACUUAAAAGCUUUAAAGUUUAAACAUGCUUGAACUCAACUAAUUCGAUAAAUUCCCUCAAUUAUUUCUAUUGAAUUUGUUGGCCGCCUUGGUCAUUUGGUGCAGAUUCUCCAGAUUUAGCCCUAGAGAAUUGUUCAGUUUACAAUCCUAGGAUGGUAUGCAAACAUUGGAGCACUGGUCAUUUUCUGGUGCUGAAAUGUAGAAAUAUAG